rnacentral:rRNA from 1 species
CCUACGGGAGGCAGCUGUGAGGAAUAUUGGUCAAUGGACGAGAGUCUGAACCAGCCAAGUAGCGUGAAGGAUGACUGCCCUAUGGGUUGUAAACUUCUUUUAUAUGGGAUAAAAUGUUCCACGUGUGGGAUUUUGUAUGUACCAUAUGAAUAAGGAUCGGCUAACUCCGUGCCAGCAGCCGGGGUAAUACGGAGGGUGCGAGCGUUAUCCGGAUUUCCUGGGUUAAAAGGGUGCGGAGGCGGAUCGUUAAGUCAGUGGGCAAAUUGAGGGGCUCAACCCCUUCCCCCCAUUGAAACUGGCGUUCUUGAGUGGAAGAGAGGUAUGCGGAAGGCGUGGUGUAGCGGUGAAAUGCAUAGAUAUCACGCAGAACCCCGAUUGCGAAGGCAGCAUGCCGGCUUCCGACUGACGCUGAAGCACGAAAGCGUGGGUAUCGAACAGGAUUAGAUACCCUUGUAGUC